AUUGAACGCUAGCGGCAUGCCUUACACAUGCAAGUCGAACGGCAGCACGGGGGCAACCCUGGUGGCGAGUGGCGAACGGGUGAGUAAUACAUCGGAACGUACCCAGUAGUGGGGGAUAACGUAGCGAAAGCUGCGCUAAUACCGCAUACGCCCUGAGGGGGAAANCGGGGGAUCGCAAGACCUUGCGCUAUACGAGCGGCCGAUGUCAGAUUAGCUAGUUGGUAGGGUAAAGGCCUACCAAGGCGACGAUCUGUAGCGGGUCUGAGAGGAUGAUCCGCCACACUGGGACUGAGACACGGCCCAGACUCCUACGGGAGGCAGCAGUGGGGAAUUUUGGACAAUGGGCGAAAGCCUGAUCCAGCCAUGCCGCGUGAGUGAAGAAGGCCUUCGGGUUGUAAAGCUCUUUCGGCUGGGAAGAAAUCGCACAGGCUAAUACUCUGUGUGGAUGACGGUACCAGCACAAGAAGCACCGGCUAACUACGUG
rnacentral:rRNA from 1 species